rnacentral:lncRNA from 1 species
CAUACAGAGCAGAGAAUUUCAGAAUCACAUCCCCUGGUAGAGCGCAAAUGAGCAGAAGGGGAAAGAGAAAUGCAGUGUGAUGCACGUACUCCAUCGUGUUUGCGGUCGGGUUACCCUGUCCUUGGAUAAGAAGUUUAUAUUCUCCGGCCCCCCGGUACAUAGUUGUGUAUUCUACGUUGUGGGUUCCUCUAGUUGUGGCAUGUGGGACGCUGCCUCAGCGUGGUCUGACGAGCAGUGCCAUGUCCGCGCCCAGGAUUCGAACCGACGAAACACUGGGCCGCCUGCAGCGGAGCGCGCAAACUUAACCACUCGGCCACGGGGCCAGCCCUGAAACGCUGGAACGCUCACCUGCCACGGGCAGCCAAGUCUACCUGGAAGAUACGCUAGCUCAGCCUGGCUCUCCUGAAUGGAAAGGGCAUUCUUGUUUCUAGAGGAUGAUGAAUUCCUGAAUAAUAUUAUGGGUUCUGCCUCUGGUUCCCGAUUAUCUUUGAUCUACGGAAGACAGGAG